rnacentral:rRNA from 1 species
AAGACCUUGCGCUUUUGGAGCGGCCGAUGCCUGAUUAGCUUGUUGGUAAGGUAAAAGCUUACCAAGGCUUCGAUCAGUAGCUGGUCUGAGAGGACGACCAGCCACACUGGGACUGAGACACGGCCCAGACUCCUACGGGAGGCAGCAGUGGGGAAUUUUGGACAAUGGGGGCAACCCUGAUCCAGCCAUGCCGCGUGAGUGAAGAAGGCCUUCGGGUUGUAAAGCUCUUUCAGCCGGAACGAAACGGUUACGGUUAAUACCCAUGACUACUGACGGUACCGGAAGAAGAAGCACCGGCUAACUACGUGCCAGCAGCCGCGGUAAUACGUAGGGUGCGAGCGUUAAUCGGAAUUACUGGGCGUAAAGCGUGCGCAGGUGGUUUUGUAAGUCAGAUGUGAAAGCCCCGGGCUCAACCUGGGAACU